UUUGGUUUGGUUUGGUUCAAUACUGAUUCUGGUUAUUCUGGUUUUGCUGGUGGUUCUGAACUGUGAAUAAAAUGUCUCAUGACAGUACACAUCAUAGUGCACACAAGGUUGAACUCCAAAUAUACCCAUUUACAUGGGAAAUAGCACCACUUGAACACAAAUGUUGGUAGUCAUAGCAAUGAAAUAUCAGUUAAUAAUGCCAUCCACUUUAUUGUUUGAAGUUUUCCUACUUGUCUUUCUUCAGAUGUUGAACUUUUUAUUUGUACUUUUCUUUGCCGUAUUCAAUAAAAUCUUCCCCUUUUUUUUUGUUUUUUCAAAAGAAUAGCUCAUUUUCUCAG
rnacentral:misc_RNA from 1 species